rnacentral:rRNA from 1 species
AAACGCUUGAAGUCGGACGGAUAGGCAACUAUCGGCCAACAUCAGUUUCAAUAGUCGGAUAAAAGCGGAAGAAGGUAGCAGGUCCGCCUGUGUUAUAGCUUCCAGCCGAAUACGAAUAAUGAGACUGAGGACCGCGCGUAAGCUAGGAUGUUGGUGGAACGGCUUUAAACGA